AGACAUCUGGGCUGCUAGCUGCAUGAAGGAGCUACCCGCUGUGGGUCUCCUCUUUGCUGACAGCUGGACACUUGACAGAAUGACCUGCCUGAACUCGGGACCUGCAGAAUGAUGGGACUGAAGAAGCUGUAACACAAACAGGGCUAAAACACGCACUCUCCUCCCCCUGCUCCCCACCGCCCCACCCACUUGCCACAUUGGAGGUGAUGAGAAGGAGAGAAGAGCUGUGGCCUUUCAGGGAGCAUAGUCCCAGGGGCUCCCUGAGCCAGGGCUGUGAAACCCUCUUCCGGGCACUGCAGUUCCUGGCAUCUCCAAACUUCUGAGUGCCACCGCAUUCCCCGCGUCCGGAUGCAGGUCAAUGCACAGAAAGAAAUCUCUCUCCUGACUUUAGUACAAUGGCACGAUUGGUGGCCACAGUCCAAGGAUGGUUGCUGGGGCACCAAGAGAUUUCUGACAAAGGGCAUUAAAACUGAGAAAGUUUGGGAACCUCUGAAUGCUGUAGGACUUGCAUUUACGUUCUAACUGAGCUUGUUGGACACUGAAAUGGAGGAAGAAUCACAAGCCAUUUUCAAACCUGUAAGUAUUUCCUAUCUUUAUAAGUAAGCCUCAAUUCAUUUUUUUCUUUGCUUCCAUCAGGACAGUUUCAAGACAACUCUGUGAGGUAAGAUAAUUUUUUUUAAUGAAACAUUGCUUCUAUAAGUAAAUUUAAAUUCUGGCUUCCUUCUGGGGCGAUCUCUUUCUCCACUGUUUGGUUCUUGAAUUUCAGGGAAACCCACAGUGAAAUAGGUAGUAGUACCACUAACUCACUCUGAUUUUUUAAAAUUUGUUACAGCAGCAAAUUAUUCUAUAGUAUAAAUAUUAGAAUGGAAUUUACAUUGAAUGUUGGUAUAUUUCUGCAUUUCUCAUUACAUUUAAAUUAACUAAAGGGUUUUUGUUUAAAGCAUCCCUUCUCUUGAGGAAAAUGUAGGUAGAAUUAUAAAAUCUUGUGGUUUUACAUAUGGGACUUUCUUUCACUUAAUUUGCAUUAAGCUGCCACAUUUAUGUCUUUAAAGAAUAAACAAAUUUACAUUUUUGCAUACAACUUGCCUCAUCAGAAAAAGCAUUGAAUAUUCAGAUAUGUGUAAUUUGUCUUUGCUGUCACAUUGGUUUAGGGUGUGAUUUACCUGCCUUUUCUAAGAUAUUUAAGUUAUACCAUGAUUAAAUAACAUGAAGGUGAUAGACCAAUGGAACAUUUUAAUCUCACGAAGAAAACAGGUGCGCAAAUGUUAGAGAGCACCCUACUCCCACUCACCCUGCAAUAUACCAAAUUCAAGUGUUGCCUAUGAUAAUAUUCAACCUCCAACCUGUUCCCCAGAGGCAUGGCACUGCCAGGAGCAACUUCUCACUAGCAACAGGUCCUUUUACCUCUGACACUUCCAAAGGCCCUGUCACCAUAAACAAGCUCGUUUUUUCUCUCUUGCCUGAUUGCUCCAGUUACAAAAUAAUGUGAGACUUGGGAACUUUAGAGCAAGAAACAGUGCCUUUGUUACCACCUCUAUUUCAUAAGUGAUGGAAUGUAUUUCAUCUAAGCACCAAAGAUGCCAAAUAAUCUAUCUGAAUUGAAUAGUCAUUUGGGGGCAGAACUGAGUUUAGAAAACAUAUUUCCUAAUUUUCGGAAUAGAACAUCUUCUAAUAUAUUGUUCCAUGUUUUUGAAAUUUAGAAAAAUGAUUAAAGGAUUUUAUUGUGAGUGGAUUAGAUACCUGAGCAGGAUGUAAAUAGACAAUAAGAAUAGAAGGCAAUCCAUUAAAGACCAAAAAUAGUUCUUCACAAAUCAGAAGACAACAGCCCUUCAGCCUCUAUAAUAACAGAAUGUGAGGAAUCUUGCCAUUCAACUUCCUUUUCAGAUACUAGGAAACAAAAAUUUAGAUUCAGGAGAAUGACUUCCCCAGGUCGUGCUUUCAAAAAAUGCUGUUUUAUUGAUUACCCACUCUAGGUCUUGCAUAUAACAUAUUACCCAGUGCAUUAGGAACCAGAGAUAUCAAUGCCUGAUCUGUGCUUUGCUAGGAAUAUAGCUCUAAACAAAGUAGAAAUAAUUCUUGUGCUCACAGUAUCUUUUGCCUAAUUGAAGGAGAGAAAGAGUAAAGAUAUUUAUGAGUAAAUAUCUACUAAUGAAUUGUAGCUAUGGUAGGUUUUUAAAAAAUAAUUACAAGUUGAAAUGAGAUAUGAAGGGGGUUGCCAGAGGAGGUCUAAAGAUUAUGAAAAGCUCAUUUUGAACAACUACAGUUGAAAUAAAACCUAAAAUUUAAAUAGAAAUUGGCUAGGCCAAAACAAAAGGAAAACAAAAACAUGAGUGAAUGAUAGGAAUGUAGUCUAAGCAGAGAGAGAAAGCAAAGUCAAACCUGCAAAUUGUAAGGAGGACAACAUAAUCGAAGAAUUGUAAGAAGACAAAGAUAGCUUGAGAGUUUUGAGAUAAGUGGAUGCUAUCAGAAUAUAUUGGUAAUGAGUGCAAAGGCCAGUCUGUAUAAGACCUUAUUUCAACACUAGGUCCUUUAAUUCCCAUUCCAUAGCUACGGUUUGUUAAUUCUUAAAAUUAUUUUUCUUUUUUAUGCAACAUGACAUAGAAAAAAUUUGGAAUUCAAAGGUACUUUACAUUUGCAUGUAUUCCACACAUCAAUCUCGUGCUUUUCUUGCAAACUUUCAUUUUGAUUGUGUAAUCAAAACUAUUGGCAGAUAUGGCCAGCUAAGUAGAGUUAAAGAAAUUACACUACAUUACAUCCAAACAUGAUGCUCUCAGCCAACGUACAAUCCCUUAUCAUCAAACAGUUUGCAGUGAGCAUGUAUUUUGCAAGUUUCACUAUCUCAAUCUGUAUUUGCCCUCAAACCUUCCUCAGGCUCUGUCUACACUGUCAAAUCUAGAGUUGAGCAGUCUCCCAGGGAAAGGUAUCAGUGGAGACAGUUCAGGUCAAAUGAGUCACCUUUUCCCAGAUUCUACUCUGUAAUAGCCUCAUGUCUCCUCUUCAAUUUGCCUGCAUAAACAGAGCCUUAGGGCAACUGUGAGACUAGCAGGUACUCUAAACGUGCCUCAAAUAAUAUUACAGAUUUUGAGGUCUUGUCUACAAAGCAUAUUUGACCCAUAAUAUUUCAACACUGAAAGAGAGGAUAGAAAGAUUCUAUCCUAAUUUUGUUUUGUUAUAUUUGAAGAAACUGAGGCAUAUUGAAUCAUUAGUGCUGUUACGUGGUAGCACAGAGACAUUCCUUGGAGGGAGCAGAACUGAAUACAAAUAGUCUGACCCUUGAUUCAGAGGGUUUUCCCUGUGUUUCAGUACAUUGUGACUGGGAUCCAUUCAUUCCAACAACCAUUUAGCAAGUACUUAAUAUUUUCCAAUACUGUGGGGCUUCUGCAAGACAAAUAAUCAAAGCUAACCAUAGUUUAUUUCAAGUAGGAAUUGUGCUCAGUGAUUUACAUGUAAUUCUUCUAAUUGCCACACUAUGGCUAGGCAGGAGAAAUGAUUAUUAACCCCAUUCUGUAUAAGAAGAGAAUGAAGAUUUAACGUUUAAAUAACUUUUCUCAAAAUGACACAACUAUUUGGGUGGAGGAUAAAAUUUCAUCCCUAGCCUGAAGUCUUAAGCAUUAUGCUAUUCUGUCUCACAAGUAAAGAUUUAGGUAUUAUAUGGGGAAAAUAAUUUUAACUUAUAUAUUUAAUUUAAUCAAUAUUUUCUGACUCCUGCUAUGCAUUUGGGAUUAUGUUUCUUGCCGAGGGUGCUGUGGGGAAAAUAAUACACAUAAUUCUAAUAUUUAUAAAGUGUAUUAGUCCAGUAGGUGAGAACUACAUUUAAAAAUUGUUAAGUACUAAGAGUACUUUUAAUUGUAUUUUAAUUGUAAUCUUAACUACUAGGGAUUAAUGGGAGGCACUGUAAAACAGUAUAACAACUCAACAGUGGUGCCCAGGAAAUUGUUGUCGAGAUCAGGCUUAACAGUUGACAACAUAAAAGCAGAAGUGAAGAAAAUUAGAGGUAGAAAGAACAAGGGUGGGUGUAAAGGUGCUGGGCUGGAAAACAGCUGGAUACAUUCCAGGCAUAGAAAUGAUCAAUGUGAUCCCAGUGUAUCGAACAAAGGGACCAGUGCUGCAAAAUUGGCUGAAGAAAAAGACAAGGCAUGGGCACUGAAAGAUUUUGGUCCUUCUCCUAGAAAGUGUUAUGUGAUUAUGGGAAAUUUUAGUGGGGAGGUACCACGGCAGGAUUUAGGUUUUCAGAAGAAUGUCUUGAUUGUUAUGUAACAAAGAGAUUAUAGAAGUGCAAGAGUGAAAGAUUCCAAGUGGUGACAUUUCAUUCAUUUACUGCCAUAUUGGCAACCUGCAGUACAAAUAGAGAAGGGCAAGUAUGUUUGACAAGGCUCCAGAAAUCACUGCCAUUUAAAUAUUGUGGAAAGAAUGGGGCAUGUUUACUCUUGAAAAAGAAACCAAGGGGAAAGCAGGCCUUUUUUAAGGAGAGAAUAGAAACAAUGGGAUGAAUUUCCAAGGAGACAUAUGUCAGCUCAAUAUGACAGAGUCAUUAUUAUACAAAGAGAUUGCCAAUGAUAUAAUAGUCAGUUCUCUGCCACUGAAGAUAUUCAAGGAGAUGUUACACGUUUUUACUUUUUGGAUAUUAUAGAACUGAUGCCAUUACUGGAAGGAACUUUUGGGCAAGGUGCACUCCUGCGAAAUUGAAUGCUAAGUUCCUUCCUUUGCUUUAUAAAGCUAAAUUUCAAACAGCCUAUUGCUAGAGAUGAAAUAGCAUAAUUUGUUUCUGUGUAUAAUUCUGAUGGAAUUGUUAAAUCUUAUUUACAAAGUGAGGACCUACCUACCUUCAGAAACUUGCAUGGACUUUUUGGCACAAAAGUCAUGACUGCUCACACCUGUAAUCCCAGCACUUUGAGAGGCUGAGGCGGGUGGAUCACGAGGUCAGGAG